UACGAAGGGUGCAAGCGUUAAUCGGAAUUACUGGGCGUAAAGGGUGCGUAGGCGGUUCGUUAAGUCUGUCGUGAAAUCCCCGGGCUCAACCUGGGAAUGGCGAUGGAUACUGGCGAGCUAGAGUGUGUCAGAGGAUGGUGGAAUUCCCGGUGUAGCGGUGAAAUGCGUGGAGAUCGGGAGGAACAUCAGUGGCGAAGGCGGCCAUCUGGGACAACACUGACGCUGAGGCACGAAAGCGUGGGGAGCAAACAGG
rnacentral:rRNA from 1 species